CCCCCAAGGAGACCCACCAUCAAACAUACAUACAUGAGAGAAGGAAUUGCAUAUCAAGUGUGAAGAAAAAGAAGAAGAAGAAGAGGUGAAGCCUUGCAUGGAGAUGGAGAGCCUCCCUUCAUCUGAUAGCCAAGAAUGACUUGCCUAUGCAAUGCCUCUGCUAACUGAUCCAUCUCACCAUCGGCUGGGAAGCCCCUGUGAUGGAUGCAGUUUGUGUGGUUGCAUGGGUGGGUCUUCUUGGCUAACCAGAGGGGCUCUCAUCCACCAUGCCAGGCCAUCCCUCUUCAAGAAACAAAAAUGAAAAAUCUCUCUGAAGCCACUGGAUUCGAUCUCCUUUGCAGGUCGAGUUCAAUUCGGCAAUGCGAUAAUCGUCUACGCGUCCCGAUCUCACCUUCUGAAUCCUUCUUUCUUUAGGUGAGAAUCAAAUGCUGUUUCUUCAGGUGGGCAACUCUUGGAUUCAGAAUUCAGUCACCAUUGUGUGGUUAUUGGGGAGACUCCCUUUGGUGCAUGCAGGGUUUGCCAGGUAUAGUAGUACGUGCGACAGCCGUCACCGGAUCCAAGAAUUGGACAAGCUUCUUUCUGCCAGACCGAACGGACACGAGGAGUUUGUGCGGCGCCACACGUGUGACAUGAAGUACAGCACACACACGGACGUGGCCCCGUCCCGACGUGUGCCCUCGCCGUGAGCACGUUGCACAGAGGGAGGGUUUCGUCUCCAUCUGUCCAAGUGUCAUGUUCCACGCUGCGAAUUAAGAUUUGUUUACGGGCGACGUAGAAACAAAGCUGAAAAAUGCAAACAAGAAUCCGGAUCUUUCUAGGGCGUGUUUUUUUUUUACGGAUAGGGCGUGUUUGGUUUCCCAUACGGAGGUCGAUAGACUGGCUGCAUAUAGAGAAAAAAAUUCGCUAACGGUGUUUGGUUAUUUGGCUCGCAUCAAUUCCGUGUAUUGCACAAUGUUUAAAGCACUCUAGGAUCA